UACGAAGGGGGCUAGCGUUGUUCGGAAUCACUGGGCGUAAAGCGCACGUAGGCGGAUUGUUAAGUCGGGGGUGAAAUCCUGAGGCUCAACCUCAGAACUGCCUUCGAUACUGGCAAUCUCGAGUCCGGAAGAGGUUGGUGGAACAGCUAGUGUAGAGGUGAAAAUUCGUAGAUAUUAGCUAGAACACCAGUGGCGAAGGCGGCCAACUGGUCCGGUACUGACGCUGAGGUGCGAAAGCGUGGGGAGCAAACAGGG
rnacentral:rRNA from 1 species